rnacentral:rRNA from 1 species
UAGGGAAUUUUUCACAAUGGGCGAAAGCCUGAUGGAGCGACGCCGCGUGCAGGAGGAAGGCCUUCGGGUUGUAAACUGCUUUUAUCGGUGACGAUUAUGACGGUAGCCGAAGAAUAAGGGUCUGCUAACUACGUG